rnacentral:rRNA from 1 species
UACGGGGGGGGGGUAAGCUUGUUCGGAAUUAUUGGGCGUAAAGCGCGCGCAGGCGGUCCUUUAAGUCUGAUGUGAAAGCCCACGGCUCAACCGUGGAGGGUCAUUGGAAAACUGGGGGGACUUGAGUGCAGGAGAGAAGAGUGGAAUUCCACGUGUAGCGGUGAAAUGCGUAGAGAUGUGGGGGAACACCAGUGGCGAAGGCGACUCUUUUUGGCCUGUAACUGACGCGAGGCGCGAAAAGCGUGGGG